UGAUUGUUUUGAAAAAAUUUCUGGUCUUAAAAUAUGUCCGGACCUUCAGGUAGUAAAUAUAGGAAGGUUGAUCCAGGUCAAUAUAGGAAGGUUGAUCCGGUACCUUCCAGGAGAAGUGGAUCCACGAAUGUUUUUAUUUAUAAGGACAAGCCAAUUUGUCUAAGUAAUGAAGCCAUCGCGGUUUUAAGAGAGUACAAUUUAAAAAGCCAUUAUACCACAAUUUUUUUUUCAAAAAUGUGGAAGUGUUAAAGGGCAAUUAAGAAGCGAUAUAAUCGAAAAGUUAAAAAAGAAUAUAGCCGCUGAACAAACUGUUUUACUGAAACACAGUGAAG
rnacentral:lncRNA from 1 species